AAAACGACGGCCAGUUGGUGCAUGGCCGUUCUUAGUUGGUGGAACGAUUUGUCUGGUUAAUUCCGAUAACGAACGAGACUCUAGCCUGCUAAAUAGGCGUUACUUUCCGGCAUCUCGAAGGCUCGCGUCUCCCGUUCGCCGGUGCGGGCGGUUCCCGCGUCGCGCGGCGUUUCGGCGUUCGCGCGCGCGUCCGCUCGUCCGGUCGGGUGUUCGCGGUUUUUACUGCCGGCGUAAACAUGAAUCUUCUUAGAGGGACAGGCGGCUCCUAGCCGCACGAGAUUGAGCAAUAACAGGUCUGUGAUGCCCUU
rnacentral:rRNA from 1 species